CCCUCUCCCUCUCCCUCUUGCGUGCUCUCCCUCUCCAUCUCCCUCCUUCUCUCUGCCUCUCCGGCCCUCUCCCUCUUGCGUGCUCUCCCUCUCCCUCUCCCUCUCCCUCUCCCCUCGCCCUCCUCUCACUCUUUGAAGUUUCAAGUGUUCCUUCAUCUCCACGGCGGAGAUCGGAGGAGUUGGUAAAAAACAAGAAAAACCCUAGCUCUCUUUCGCUUGCUUUCUGUGAGAUCUCGAUCUUCCUUCGAUUCCAUCAUAAGCAGAAUUGACAACUGGAAACGUGAACAUAUACGGUAGUCCCUGAGAGAGAAGGUGAAGCCUGGUGCAUCAGCAAGCUAAGAUUUGAAUCUCAGGUUCCGUUUCUCCUCUCUUAAUUGCUAUAUAGGAGUCUCUGUCCUAUUUGAUUUAGUUUCAAUAAUUAGAUUUACUCAAAAUUUCAAAUUUGCAAUUAUGAUGUUGGGGUGUAGCAUCUUAGCUUUCCAUUUCAUUAUGGAAUAUAAUUGCGCAGAUUUUCUACU